UACGAAGGGUGCAAGCGUUGUUCGGAAUUACUGGGCGUAAAGCGCGCGUAGGCGGGUCUAUAAGUAGAUUGUGAAAGCCCUGGGCUUAACCCGGGAAUUGCAGUCUAAACUGUAGAUCUUGAAUGUCUGAGAGGAUGGCGGAAUUCCCGGUGUAGUAGUGAAAUACGUAGAUAUCGGGAAGAACACCUGAGGCGAAGGCGGCUAUCUGGCGGUACAUUGACGCUGAUGCGCGAAAGCGUGGGGAGCAAACAGG
rnacentral:rRNA from 1 species